rnacentral:piRNA from 1 species
UGGAGACGUAGUGGUGAGUAGAU